UACGGGGGGGGCAAGCGUUGUUCGGAAUUACUGGGCGUAAAGGGCUCGUAGGCGGCCAACUAAGUCAGACUUGAAAUCCCUCGGCUUAACCGGGGAACUGCGUCUGAUACUGGAUGGCUUGAGAUUGGGAGAGGGAUGCGGAAUUCCAGGUGUAGCGGUGAAAUGCGUAGAUAUCAGGAGGAACACCGGUGGCGAAGGCGGGUCUCUGGGCCGAUACUGACGCUGAGGAGCGAAAGCGUGGGGAGCGAACAGG
rnacentral:rRNA from 1 species